AGCCGAUCUGUCCACUGAGCAGCUUUGAUUUCCAGCUCACGUGAACGAUUUUUGCUCUGUCUUCUUAAAUGCACGAGCGGGUUUGUGGGGGAGAGUGGAGAGCUGAGACGUCACCAGCUUCUCCACGUUCGCCGCAGGACUGCCGCCUUCCCGGGGCUCCCGACGCGGAGUCGGGGCUUCUCCGAACAGCAGAGCCCCGUCUAACCUGAGAAAUCCUCUCUCUUGGAUGCAGACGCUGACAAAGAACCAGGAAACACAUCUGGGAGCGAAAAACCCUGAAAACGAGGAACGACUCUCAGCUGUAGAAGUGCCAACGAAGCAGGUGGUCGAGGAGUGACCUUGCCGGUGCCGGGCACCUGUGCUCCUGCCUGGUCCCUGCCGUGUCUCCUCCGCAUGGGGACGGCGCUGCGGAGAGCCUGCUGUCGCUCCCCUCUAGUCCUCGGGCCCUCGCUGCAGCCAGCAGACCCCUCUCCAGCUUUGGCUGCUCCUAGGCUGGGCUCUGAUGUUUCCAGUGCAUCAUCUUGCUCUUCUCCAUGA
rnacentral:lncRNA from 1 species